GUCGAGGGGUAACAGGGAUUAGCUUGCUAAUUUGCUGACGACCGGCGCACGGGUGCGUAACGCGUAUACAAUCUGCCUUAUACUGGGGUAUAGCCUUUAGAAAUGAAGAUUAAUCCCCCAUAGUCUCUACUUGUGGCAUCACAUAUAGAGUAAAGGUUACGGUAUAAGAUGAGUAUGCGUUCUAUUAGCUAGUAGGUAAGGUAACGGCUUACCUAGGCAACGAUAGAUAGGGGCCCUGAGAGGGGGAUCCCCCACACUGGUACUGAGACACGGACCAGACUCCUACGGGAGGCAGCAGUGAGGAAUAUUGGACAAUGGGCGGAAGCCUGAUCCAGCCAUGCCGCGUGCAGGAAGACUGCCCUAUGGGUUGUAAACUGCUUUUGUACAGGAAGAAACCUUUCCACGUGUGGAGAGCUGACGGUACUGUAAGAAUAAGCAUCGGCUAACUCCGUGCCAGCAGCCGCGGUAAU
rnacentral:rRNA from 1 species